rnacentral:rRNA from 1 species
GACGAACCGUGCGAACGUUGUUCGGAAUCACUGGGCUUAAAGGGCGCGUAGGCGGGUCAUCAAGUCAGGGGUGAAAUCCUCCAGCUCAACUGGGGAACUGCCUUUGAUACUGGUGGUCUUGAGUGGGGUAGGGGCAUGCGGAACAAUGGGUGGAGCGGUGAAAUGCGUUGAUAUCCAUUGGAACUCCGGUGGCGAAAGCGGCGUGCUGGACCUCUACUGACGCUGAUGCGCGAAAGCCAGGGGAGCAAACGGG